rnacentral:rRNA from 1 species
UACAGAGGGUGCAAGCGUUGUUCGGAAUUAUUGGGCGUAAAGCGCGUGUAGGCGGCUUUGCAAGUCGGGUGUGAAAGCCCUCAGCUCAACUGAGGAAGUGCGCCCGAAACUGCAGAGCUUGAGUACCGGAGAGGAUGGCGGAAUUCCCCAAGUAGAGGUGAAAUUCGUAGAUAUGGGGAGGAACACCGGUGGCGAAGGCGGCCAUCUGGACGGAUACUGACGCUGAGACGCGAAAGCUAGGGGAGCGAACGGG